UCUGCAGUGAAACCCUCACAGGGAGGUUUCUCUUUGUCAAGGUAGAGGAUUGGUAGGUUCACAUCUCCCUUCAGCUCCUUAUGGGGAUGGAGGGCUUCCUUAUGAGCACUUGAUACAAUCUCAGCCCCCUUUGUGCACACAGUGUAUCCAGGUAGCUACAGGCUUGAAGCACUUGCGUGACUAAGCUCCUAUACAGUUCUUCACCAUGACCCUGAGGAAGGAGCCCUGAGGCAGGAUCCUAUCUGGCAACUUAUCCAGGAGUGCCCGAGGCUGUUUUGAGCGGCUGUCACUCAUCCAGCCCCUAAGCAGAGACAGGAAAAUGGCGGCUUUCCUGUUUUGAGACACCUCUCCUCCUAGAAGAAAGCCAUGAAGUUCAUUCCAGGGGUCUCCAUCAAGGGUCUCCAGGUUGGCUUCUCAUGAGAGUUCCAGGAACAGGACCCAGAAACUUCUCUUUGUCUGUGCCCUGGAGACCCUCUACUCCUGGAGCAGAGCAGAGUUGUGGCCUUUUCCAUUCUGGAAAAAAAGAAAGUGAACUGCCGUCCAGGUUGUGGUGGUGCACACCUUGAAUCCCAGGACUCAGGAGGUGGAGGCAGGUACAUCUUUGUGGGUUCGAGGCCUGCCUGGUCUACAGAGUGACUUCCAGGACAGCCAGGGCUACACAGAGAGACCCUGUCUCAAAAACAAAACAAAAAGAUGAGAAUGAGAUGCCUAGUGGAGACUCCUCCCUCCAGGGCGGGCGCAUCCAAACCCUGUGCUACAGACAAACCCCAGACCUGGAUAUGCUAAGCACAGACUCUCCCACCAGCCCCACGGUGGAUCCAAACGUUUGGUAAUUCUGCCAGUGACGCCUUGCUUGCCACAAGGAGGAAGAGGAAAGAGUAAGAAAUGUGGCAGCGAAGAACCUGCAGCCUUGGGCAACACUAUGGCAACCAGUCCCUGCUUGCCUUGUGAGCCUCUCAGCUAAAUUGCAGAUAAGUGUAUGGGGAGGAGACACUUUACAGGCUCCAGCCAGAGUGGGGAGGAAGCCUGGAAAAGCCUGUGAAGGGCGCUCCCAACACUGGCAAAAUUACCAGCCAUGCAUUGCAAUUCCCAGCCUCUGCAACAGGCAAAUAACCAGUCUACGGUUCCCAGAUUGAUCAAAC
ensembl:lncRNA